UGAUUGAGAAGUGGAAACCAGUGGUACUGUUAUGCUGGUUUGGCAUUUUGCUGGAAUCGACUUGCCCACUUACAGGAUGAAAAUAUCCUUCUCCCCAAGGCUCACUGAAAGAAUUCUCUACCACAAUGACGUGGGUAAACCAAGCUGUGUACCCUAGCUUGGUGAGUAAGAGUGCACAACCCACCUAACCCAAGAGCCAUGAGACAGGUCGGAGUGAGAGGAAGGGGGGGGCUUAUUAUGGUAAUUAUAUCUUGCAGGAAACAUGUCACAGAGUGAUUCAAAACACAUUUUAGUCAUAACAAUAAUCUUAUUGUUCAAGAACUGAAUCAUCUCCUCUUUUCAACGGAAAGGAAACGGUAAAUCAUUAACCAAGAGAAAUAGAGGUUCUCUUAUACUUAUGUGGGCCUGAAAUGUCCACAGGGCCAGUAGCAGGGUCUAUACAGUAGGAAUCACAAACAAG
ensembl:lncRNA